rnacentral:miRNA from 1 species
GGGUUCUCUGUGUAGCCUUGACUGUCCCGGAACUCGAUCUGUAGACCAGGCUGGCCUUGAACUUGAAGAGAUCCUCCUGCCUCUGCCUCCCGAGUGCUGGGAUUAAAGGCGUGCGCCACCAACGCCC